CCUACGGGAGGCAGCAGUGAGGAAUAUUGGUCAAUGGGCGCGAGCCUGAACCAGCCAAGUAGCGUGAAGGAUGACUGCCCUACGGGCUGUAAACUUCUUUUAUAAAGGAAUAAAGUGAGGCACGUGCGCCUUUUUGUAUGUCCUUUAUGAAUAAGGAUCGGCUAACUCCGUGCCAGCAGCCGCGGUAAUACGGCGGAUCUGAGCGUUAUCCGGAUUUAUUGGGUUUAAAGGGAGCGUAGAUGGGUUGUUACGUCAGUUGUGAAAGUUUGCGGCUCAACCGUAAAAUUGCAAUUGAUACUGGCAGUCUUGAGUACAGUUGAGGUAGGCGGAAUUCGUGGUGUAGCGGUGAAAUGCUUAGAUAUCACGAAGAACACCGAUUGCGAAGGCAGCUUACUAAACUGCCACUGACAUUGAUGCUCGAAAGUGUGGGUAUCAAACAGGAUUAGAUACCCCUGUAGUC
rnacentral:rRNA from 1 species